GGGAAGGAGUGUGGAACUGAAACCUCAUGCUGCAGCUUGCUGUAACUGUUACGACAGGUGACGUGAUCCCUGUGCAAUAACUGGAGGUCCGCUGGUUACGUUUGCAAAGUAUUUGGAGAUCCUUCAGGAUACGAGGAGCACGUACAAGAUACUUACCUGUUUCCUGCGAUUCCUCUUUGCUUGAAGCACCAUUGGUAGUUCUUCUGGAAUCUGUUGCACUUUCCAGUGUGGGUUUCUGAGUGAGACCCAAAAUUAUCCUGGUAAUAAACCACAGCUGUUCACUGGACAACUUCCAACUCCUUCUCAUCUUUGAUUUAGAAUGUCUGUGAUUCUGCAGGUAAAGCUGGAGACAGAAAUAUAUUGGGACCUUCUUCCGAGCCAAAACAAAUUCCCAACAUUACACACAUACACCCUCCACUCCAACAUUUGGAUGCAAGAGCGUAUCCAAACAUUUGAGGUUGACAUUUUUGAAGGUGGUUAAAGGAAUUAGGCACUGAACCCUUUCAGAAACAUAGGACUGGCCAGACUGGAUCCAACUCCUGGUCUCUCUAGUCCAAUAUCUUGUUUCCAACAACAGCCAGAAUGAGAGUGAAUGAGAGGAAGCUGCAAUUUGUCAGAGUAGGUAAAUGAUAAUCUGCCAUCUACAUGAGAUCUCCUUCUAAUCCCUAACAGUAGAGACGGUUUAAGCCCUGAAGCAUGAGGUCUAAUAUCUCCUCCGCAAUUUACAGUAGCAUUGUCUGUUAUAGUCACGCUUGUCCGAAAUCUUUUUUUAAUAUAUAAUUUUGACAGCUGUCAGUUUAUUUUAAACCAUUUUAAUAUUUUCAUUGAUUUAAAUGUUUACAGUUGCACAAAAUGAUGAGAUUUUACCAUUAUUUUUGGUUAUUUUUCUUGAUUUCAAUGUUCACUGUUGCAGGAAAUUAUA